AAGUCGUAACAAGGUUUCCGUAGGUGAACCUGCGGAAGGAUCAUUACAAAUAUUUGGUUAACGCCAACAUUUCAUGUGCAACUUAUUGACGCUGCCAGAAUUUCGAAAAGUUUUUGGAUUUUUCGAUGCCUGGCAGCAAACCCGACCGCUUGAAUCAAUAAUGUACUUUAGUGAUUUAAUGCAUGAUACAAGCGGUCAGCGGGCCUCUCGUUGUUGUUCUCGGAUAACAAUUGAUGUCCGUCUUUGACAACAUUAUAACAUCAGUCUUAUUUAUCCAUCAUCAGACAGUAGCAAUUCAGCGAAAUGUGAUGACAUAAAAGGGUUAAAAACUUUUAGCAACGGAUCUCUAGGCUCUC
rnacentral:misc_RNA from 1 species